CCUACGGGUGGCAGCAGGGAGGAAUAUGGGUCAAUGGAAGAGAGGCUGAACCAGCCAAGUAGCGUGAAGGAUGACUGCCCUAUGGGUUGUAAACUUCUUUUAUAAAGGAAUAAAACGAGGCACGUGUGCCUUUUUGCAUGUACUUUAUGAAUAAGGAUCGGCUAACUCCGUGCCAGCAGCCGCGGUAAUACGGAGGAUCCGAGCGUUAUCCGGAUUUAUUGGGUUUAAAGGGAGCGUAGAUGGGUUGUUAAGUCAGUUGUGAAAGUUUGCGGCUCAACCGUAAAAUUGCAAUUGAUACUGGCAGUCUUGAGUACAGUUGAGGUAGGCGGAAUUCGUGGUGUAGCGGUGAAAUGCUUAGAUAUCACGAAGAACCCCGAUUGCGAAGGCAGCUUACUAAACUGUGACUGACAUUGAUGCUCGAAAGUGUGGGUAUCAAACAGGAUUAGAUACCCUUGUAGUC
rnacentral:rRNA from 1 species